UACGAAGGGGGCGAGCGUUGUUCGGAUUUACUGGGCGUAAAGGGCGCGUAGGCGGCGCGAGAAGUCGAGUGUGAAAGCCCCGGGCUCAACCUGGGAAUUGCGCUCGAUACUCUUGUGCUUGAGUUCGGGAGAGGGUCGCGGAAUUCCCGGUGUAGAGGUGAAAUUCGUAGAUAUCGGGAGGAACACCAGUGGCGAAGGCGGCGACCUGGACAGAUAUUGACGCUGAGGUGCGAAAGCGUGGGGAGCAAACAGG
rnacentral:rRNA from 1 species